GACGAACGCUGGCGGCGUGCUUAACACAUGCAAGUCGAACGGAAAGGCCCUGCUUUUGUGGGGUGCUCGAGUGGCGAACGGGUGAGUAACCCGUGAGUAACCUGCCCUUUACUUUGUGAUAACUUCAGGAAACUGGGGCUAAUACCGGAUAGGAGCUCCUGCUGCAUGGUGGGGGUUGGAAAGUUUCGGCGGUUGGGGAUGGACUCGCGGCUUAUCAUCUUUUUGGUGGGGUAGUUGCUUACCAAGGCUUUGACGGGUAGCCGGCCUGAGAGGGUGACCGGCAACAUUGGGACUGAGAUACGGACCAGAAUCCUACGGGAGGCAGCAGGGGGGAAUAUUGCACAAUGGGCGGAAGCCUGAUGCAGAAACGCAGCGUGCGGGAUGACGGCCUUCGGGUUGUAAACCGCUUUCGCCUGUGACGAAGCGUGAGUGACGGUAAUGGGUAAAGAAGCACCGGCUAACUACGUG
rnacentral:rRNA from 1 species